rnacentral:rRNA from 1 species
CCUACGGGUGGCAGCAGUGAGGAAUAUUGGUCAAUGGGCGCGAGCCUGAACCAGCCAAGUAGCGUGAAGGAUGACUGCCCUACGGGUUGUAAACUUCUUUUAUAAAGGAAUAAAGUGAGGCACGUGUGCUUUUUUGUAUGUACUUUAUGAAUAAGGAUCGGCUAACUCCGUGCCAGCAGCCGCGGUAAUACGGAGGAUCCGAGCGUUAUCCGGAUUUAUUGGGUUUAAAGGGAGCGUAGGUGGAUUGUUAAGUCAGUUGUGAAAGUUUGCGGCUCAACCGUAAAAUUGCAGUUGAAACUGGCAGUCUUGAGUACAGUAGAGGUGGGCGGAAUGCGUGGUGUAGCGGUGAAAUGCUUAGAUAUCACGAAGAACUCCGAUUGCGAAGGCAGCUCACUGGACUGCGACUGACACUGAGGCUCGAAAGUGUGGGUAUCAAACAGGAUUAGAUACCCGUGUAGUC